GCGCGGUUUCCUCAAACGUCAGAGGAUAGCACACCGAAAACCAUCUAGCAACAGGCGCAUGCAUCAGUCUGGUUUACGGUUCAAGAUGCGAGCGUCCGGCAAUCUCCGCCAGCCGACGCGCCGGCAAACGCCAUGGUCGACCAGUGUCAUACUGGGUGCCGAGCGGGCAUAUCUCCCAUAAAGACUACGACUGCCGUCUUAGGUAUCGCUGUGCGU
rnacentral:lncRNA from 1 species